rnacentral:rRNA from 1 species
UACGUAGGGAGCAAGCGUUGUUCGGAUUUACUGGGCGUAAAGGGCGCGUAGGCGGCGCAACAAGUCACUUGUGAAAUCUCCGGGCUUAACCCGGAGCGGCCAAGUGAUACUGUCGUGCUAGAGUGCGGAAGGGGCUACUGGAAUUCUCGGUGUAGCGGUGAAAUGCGUAGAUAUCGAGAGGAACACCUGCGGCGAAGGCGGGUAGCUGGGCCGACACUGACGCUGAGGCGCGAAAGCCAGGGGAGCGAACGGG